rnacentral:tRNA from 1 species
UUCAGGGCUCAGUGGUUAGAGUUUAGGUCUCGUAACCGAAGGGUUGCGGGAUCGAAUCCCGCUAGAGGCUGAAA